UUUGAGUAGUUUAUUUAGAAUUAUAAUUUGUGGUAUUAUAGGUGAUGUUUAUUCCUCAGAUC
rnacentral:tRNA from 1 species